GACAGAGGUGCCAAGCGUUAGGCGGAAUCACUGGGCUUAAAGCGUGUGUAGGUGGAUCGUUAAGUACCUUGUGAAAUCCCACGGCUUAACCGUGGAACUGCUCGGUAUACUGGCGGUCUUGAGCCAACUAGGGGCUAUCGGAACAAGUGGUGGAGCGGUGAAAUGCGUAGAUAUCUGGAGGAACACCGGUGGCGAAGGCGGCAUCCUGGACCGAUACUGACGCUGAGGAGCGAAAGCCAGGGGAGCAACGGG
rnacentral:rRNA from 1 species